GGCACCAUAGUUCAAUGGAUAGAACGGAAGUUUCCUAAACUUCAGAUCUAGGUUCGAUUCCUAGUGGAGCCA
rnacentral:tRNA from 1 species